GGACUACCCGGGUUUCUAAUCCUGUUCGCUCCCCACGCUUUCGCUCCUCAGCGUCAGUACAGGCCCAGAGAACCGCCUUCGCCACCGGUGUUCCUCCCGAUAUCUGCGCAUUUCACCGCUACACCGGGAAUUCCGUUCUCCCCUACCUGCCUCAAGCCUGCCCGUAUCCACCGCAGACCCGCAGUUAAGCUGCGAGCUUUCACGACAGACGCGACAAACCGCCUACGAGCUCUUUACGCCCAAUAAUUCCGGACAACGCUUGCGCCCUACGUAUUACCGCGGCGGCUGGCAC
rnacentral:rRNA from 1 species